GCCUGGCCCUAAAUCUUGAUGCUCGAUCUUACCGGAGCAUCCGCCCGAGAACUACGAGCACAAACGCUUAAAACUCUAAGGACUUGGCGGUGUUCCAAACCCACCUAGAGGAGCCUGUUCUGUAAUCGAUGAUCCACGAUAUACCUAACCAUUUCUUGCCAAAGCAGCCUAUAUACCGCCGUCGCCAGCCCACCCAGCAUGAAGGACCAACAGUGGACGCAAUAGCCUUACCCCGCUAAUAAGACAGGUCAAGGUAUAGCCUAUGGAAUGGGAGCAAUGGGCUACAUUUUCUAGACUAGAACAUACGGCAAAGGGAUAUGAAACUGUCCCUGGAAGGCGGAUUUAGCAGUAAAGUGGGACAAUCGAGCCCUCUUUAAGCCGGCCCUGGAACACGU
rnacentral:rRNA from 1 species